rnacentral:lncRNA from 1 species
UCUUGUUACGUAUGAUUUUGAUAUUUGAUUGUAAUCAUCAAAGGGUUCCCAGGGCUUUUGUAUUUCGAUAGACUAGUUUAAAUGUUAAACUUUGGUUUCAAUUGUUGAAUGCAUAUUAAAAUUUUUGAAAUUCAUAUUCUGCUACAUCACCGAAUCCAACAAUGAGUGUCAUUAUUAUCCUUCUUUUAUGAUGAAUGUCAUCUCUGCAGGCCUUUUGGUCAAACU